CGUUGAGAUUUACGAAUCAGCUGUUUUUGACAUUCAGGCAUAAACACCAAAUAUUUAUUAAAGGAAAAUAUUGUAAUGUCGUACUUUGUUAUAAAAAUUGUAUUUUUUUAUAAAUAUUCUCCACUCAAUGGAAAUAAUUGAGGAAUUGUUUGAUUUGAACCGCCUAACAAUGAAACGUUUGUUGCAUGCACACAUAAUACUCAAAAUGGGUAGUCUACAUGGAGCAAAUUCAACAAGGUCUAUUUGGAUGAAGGUACAUACAUGUGUAUAUAAAUAUUGACUCGUGGCCAAAUGUUUGGGAAGUCGAUUGCCAGGUGAAUUCAGAUGCAUUCUUUAAAAGCAACUUCCGAAUGAAGCGCAAAUCAUUCAAUAAAUUGUGCAUUAUGUUGAAAGGCUUGGAGAAGAAAACCACUAACUACCGGAAAACAAUUCAAUUAGAAAAACGCAUUGCUAUUGCUUUAUAUGCUCUUGGCUCUUCUGCAGAAUACCGAACAAUUGGAAAUAUGUUCGGAAUUGGUAAAAGCACUGUCUGCUCCAUUCUAAUUGAGUUCUGCCAUGAAGUCUGGCGAUGUUUGUGGCCAUUGUAUUUGAAGAAAUUCCCAAUGAACGAAUUUCAAGUGCGGGAGUAUAUAAAUGGUUUUGAGUCAUAGGGUUUCCCUCAAGUGUUAGGAGCUAUAGGUAAUAGGUUAAAUGUUUACCGAUGGACUUUUUAUAUAUUUUUAAGUUUUAGAUGGUUGUCAUAUAGAAGUUCGCCCAGCAGCAGAAGAUGCUGUUGACUACUACAAUUACAAAGGCUGGUAUUCCACAGUUCUUUUGGCUUUAGUAGAUGCAAGGCAAGUUUUUUCAUGAAGCUCUUUUAACACCUAAUGUAUUUCUUUAAUGUUAUAUAUGCCGCUUUAUAUACAUCAACGUUGGUAGUCCAGGCCGUUGUAAUGACUCUUCAAUAUUUGAGAGUUCAUCUUUAAAAAGCCAGUUGGCACAAUCUAGUUUAUUUAAAGACAUGAGUAGACAAAUUUCGUCAAUUAAUGUUCCAGUAGUUUUAUUGGGCGACUCUGCGUUCAAACAAGAUGAACAUUUGAUGAAACCCUACCCUUUUUGUGUAAACCAACCUUCGGAUAAAAAAAAAUUUAACUAUGUUCUCUCGAAAUGUCGAAGAGUUUGUGGAAAUGUUAACCCAAGAGCAGAGGAAAUAAGACAAGCGUUUGUUUCAUAUUUCGGUCAGUAAUUAUUUGAAAUUAUUUUUUUAUUUAUUCCACUACAAAAAACCAAUAUUUCUAAAUUUUAUGUACGUAUAUAUAAUACUAGCAGAUCCGGCCACACGUUUUUGUGGCAAGGUAUACAUUCAAUUAAGUUGGUCCAAUCUUGGCUUCGGCGACGAUAUUGCUUACUCGAGGUCGAUUUAUGCUACGCAGCAGGAUGACAACUCACACUACUUUUAAUUGUAAACGGUGUCAACUCUCUUGGACCGAAGUUCUAAAUUGUCCGUCAGUAACAGUUGAUACAGGAAUAAUUAGAAGAGUCCGGCGUAAAUCACCUGCUAACAGAAUUCUGGCUCCACCAAAAACGUUCAUCGACGAUCAAGAUCUUUUAAAGUCCUGUGCAGUACCUCCAGCGAGUUCUUGAAUAUUUGGAAAAUCUUCGUUAUAGCGCAAUUUUUGGCGAUUUUGCCGUCUGGUGUUUCGUUUAUUUGCAAUUUAGGAGUAAUUUCAAGACCGAAUGUGCCGUUUGUUUGCCUACUAACAGGUGUCAAGAUGCCCCUAUUCCUGAAAAUGAGUGAAAUUGGUUCUGGAAUUACAUUAGCCCUCAUAUACUAUAUAUGAUGAUUAUCUAUUGGACUUUAUGCCGAAUAUAUGUCAAAUUGUGUGUUAUCUUAAUAAAAUUACAUCAAUAUAUUGCGAGCCUAGCCUUAGCCUUUCCUUAUUUGUUACAAAUUGUUUUGGGCUAUCGACACAACCUUACACAAUUGAACAAUAACAAAAAUAUUUUAACAAAGCAACAAUGACAACCUUCAAAAUAUUAUUUUUUUUUGUUUUCUCUAUUUAUAUUUUUCUUGUCAACUCGAAUAAAAUUCUCUUAUUAAUAUCUUCCUCGCAAUUUUUCCAUAUUUACUCACUCUAAUAUUUUCCUUGCCUUCCACGAACUCUUCAAGACUAAAAUUAGCCAGAUCAGUUUGGCCGUUCUCGACUUUUUGCGAGACUAACGAACAGCAAUUAAUUUAUAUAUGUAUGUAUUAUAUUUAUGUAACUGUAAAUUAGAAGUAAAACAAAAUGUUAAUUAUUAAUAUCUCCUAACUAAAUUUCAUAAAACUCCGUUCAGCCGUUUAGACAUGAAAGAAAAAAUUCCCAGCAAAAGCCAUAAAAAAAUCACUAACUCAAUUUAAUUAUCUGCCUACUGCCUACCCCCUAAGAACGAUGGCGGGAUUAUUUAUAGUCUAUGACCAUUUCUAGGUUAUCAUCUAUCACCAUACCAAAUUUCAUCAAAAUCCGUUCAGCCGUUUAGGCGUGAAAGAGUAACAGACAGACAGACUUACUUUCGCAUUUAUAAUAUUAAUAUGGAUAAUACUCAAUGAUGUACAUACGUUUACUGCAUAAUUUAUUACCUACCUGUAUUUGUUUGUAAAAUUGUGUAAUUUUAUUUUUAUUUCCUGCGCGGUAUAUAUGUAGGAUUGCAUACGCUAAAGUGCAACUCUGCAAAUGAACACUGAUUUAACGAAUGACAAAGCGAACAGAACUAUUAACAGAUUUUUGUAAUGAGCGGAUGUGCCGCUCUACCUAAAGCUAAGAACAUCUUGUGAAUAUUAUAUAUUAAAUAGAAACUAAAAUUAAGAACAUGCGUUAUAUUAAAUAAAACUGAAGUUACAAUAAAUAAAAGUGUUUAAAUUAAAAAGAGCUCUACAAGUGGUGUCAAGAAGUGUGAUCGAAUCGUGUGUGCUCGUAAAGAUUUUAUAAAAUAAUACACGCAUGUGUAUUAACGUUCCAGAAAUAACUGCGUAUUGAGAGUAUUUCAAUAUUAGGUAUUCAAUACCUAAAAGUGGUUAAACUUGUGAGAAAGGUAAAUUCGUUAAAAUUUAUCGAGUUUGGUAAAAGCUUUUUUUUGACUAAUAAUUGCGCAAAUGUGCCUGCGCGAAAGUGGCGUUAAAAACAUUAACCAUUACAUUGUAAAUGGUUGUGUUAAAAACUAAGCCUAGAAAAGUACAGUGUCUAAAUACUGCGUGGCGUGACCGGUGUCGACCGUUAAGGGCACCGUUAACUCACACCGUUAUGAUGCCGAUUCGGCGUUGAAAAGCGCAGUUAGCAAGCAGAGAAUGCGCAGCUUGAUAUCAGAGAAGACAACGGUGAGGUAGUGGGUAAGCAGAUGGCGAGAAUAGUGAGAAGAAGAGAGUAGCAAGCAGAGAAUCUUGCGCGGUUUAAUAUCAAAGAAGGCAGCGUGUAAGCAGAGUAAGCAGAUCAAUUUGGCGGCAGAGGCGAGAGUAGCAAGCAGAGAAACUUGCGCAGCGUGAUAGCAGAGAAAGUAACGGGUAAGCAGAGUAGGCAACGGGUAAGCAGACACAUUUGGCAGAGUAAGCAACGGGUAAGCAGAGUAAGCCGACGCAUUUGGCAGUGAAGGCAGCGUGUAAGCAGCGUAAGCAGAUCAAUUUGGCGGCAGAGGCGAGAGUAGCAAGCAGAGAAACUUGCGCAGCGAGAAAUCAGCGAAGGCAACGGGCAAGCGGGUAAGCAGACACAAUUGGCAAAGAAGGCAGCGGGUAAGCAGAGAAAGUGAGAGAGUGAAGCAGUUACAACGUAUGUAGAGAGUACGCAUACAACAGGUAAAACUUAAUAAAUUGAUAUUAUAAUUCAAGUAAUCGAAUAAUGAUUUAUCGAUGAUUUUUUCCGAUUAUCAUUCGAUAAUAAAUAAAAGUUGU